rnacentral:rRNA from 1 species
AUCAGGAGUAUUCGGGUUCCGGGGGGAGUAUGGUCGCAAGGCCGAAACUUAAAGGAAUUGACGGAAGGGCACCACCAGGAGUGGAAUCUGCGGCUUAAUUUGACAACGCGGGAAAACUCACCAGGUCAGGACACGGUAAGGAUUGACGGACUGAAGGCUCUUUCUCGAUUCCGUGGAAAGUGGUGCAUGGCCGUUUUUGGUUGGUGGAUCGAUCCGUCUGGUUAAUUCCGUUAACGAACGAGACCUCGGCACUCCGAAUAGCGCGGCGGACGUCGCGGCCUCCGGGCCGUCUUCCGCACGAGCUUCUUAGAGGGACCGUCCCCCGCCGGGGAAGGAGGUGCGAGGCAACGACAGGUCUGUGAUGCCCUUAGAUGUUCUGGGCCGCACGCGCAUUACACUGACGCGUCCAACGGGUGACUCCCGACCCGAAGGGGCCGGGGAAUCCGCAAGGCGCGUCGUGAUGGGGAUUGAACGUUGCAAUUGUUGUUCACGAACGAGGAAUUCCUAGUAGGCGCGGGUCAUCAACCCGCGCCGAUUACGUCCCUGCCCUUUGUACACACCGCCCG